AUGUCUUGCAGCUGUGGAUCAAGCUGCGGCUGCGGCUCAAACUGCAAUUGUGGCAAGAUGUACCCUGACUUAGAGGAGAAGAGCGGUGCCAUCGUGCAGGCCACCGCCGUCGUCCUCGGCAUCGGGCCCGCGAAGGUGCAGUUCGAGGAGGCCGCCGAGUCCGCAAAACUAAGGAUGUCUUGCAGCUGUGGAUCAAGCUGCGGCUGUGGUUCAAACUGCAACUGCGGCAAGAUGUACCCUGAUUUGGAGGGGAAGAGCACCACCACUAUGCAGGCCACCGUCGUCGUCCUCGGCGUCGGGCCCGUGAAGGUGCAGUUCGAGGAGGCCGCCGAGUCCGGUGAGACCGGCCACGGCUGCAGCUGCGGUGCCAGCUGCAAGUGCAACCCUUGCAACUGCUAA
rnacentral:rRNA from 1 species